AGUUUGUAUAGCAAUAACCCUGUGUAGAUAUAUUGUUAAAAGUUGCGUCUUUACUUCAGUUUUUCCUUUAUACAUAUCAAGAAUGAGCACUAGCAGUUGUAUCGGAAUCUCAACCAUGAAACCCUGCUGUGGAAUCGUAAUUGGAUACAAAAGUUCUUCCCUUUUUGGGCUUUCUGUCCCAAAGUUAAACAAUCCUGUCAUCCAUAACAAUUUGUCGAAAUCACUAUCCAAAUCAGCCCAUCACCGUAGAUUCCAUUGCCAUAGUGUCAAUAAUAGGUCCAGAAUCAUAGGUAACAAGUCUGUGGUUAAUUUGAAUCGUAGAGCUUUUAAUGUCUCCGAUUCGAGCUGGGGUCAAUCCAAUGUUUUUACAUCUCAUGUAGAUAUGGAUCGUGUAAGGGAUGUUUUAGUAAUUCCCAAGGUAUCGUCUGAUAUUAGGAACCAUUCGAUAUCAAUAGAGUCUCACAUUAAUGAGAAGGGAUUUGAGAACAUUUACAUUCAAGGAGGGUUGAAUGUGAAUCCUCUAAUGAUAAAAAAAAUUGAAACAGGAAAUGAUGUAGUCAAAGAAGAAGAUAAGUCUAAUAGGAUAGAGAUUAAUGGGACAAAUGUGAACAUAGACUAUUUGAAGGGUUUGAAUGAGACAGCUUCUAAGGUUGAGAGAGAGGUGUCUGAGACUGAAAAGGAGGCCUGGAAGUUGCUUCAAGGUGCUAUUGUGAAUUAUUGUGGCAAUCCAGUGGGGACUGUUGCUGCAAAUGAUCCUGCUGAUAAGCAACCACUGAACUACGAUCAAGUAUUUAUUCGUGAUUUUGUUCCAUCUGCACUCGCUUUUUUGCUUAAUGGAGAUGCGGAGAUCGUGAAGAACUUUCUUCUUUACACAUUGCAGUUGCAGAGUUGGGAAAAGACAGUGGACUGUCACAGUCCUGGGCAAGGGUUGAUGCCAGCAAGUUUUAAAGUUAGAACUGCACCCCUAGAUGGAAGUGAUAGAGCAUUUGAAGAAGUUUUGGAUCCCGACUUUGGUGAAUCAGCCAUUGGGCGUGUAGCCCCUGUUGAUUCUGGGUUGUGGUGGAUAAUUUUGUUGCGAGCUUAUGGAAAGAUCACAGGCGACUAUGCGUUGCAAGAGAGAAUUGAUUUCCAGACAGGCAUUAGGCUCAUACUCAAUCUGUGUCUAUCUGAUGGUUUUGACAUGUUCCCCACUCUGUUAGUCACUGAUGGUUCCUGCAUGAUUGAUAGACGGAUGGGCAUUCAUGGACAUCCUCUUGAAAUCCAAGCCUUAUUCUAUGCGGCUCUGCGUUGUGCCCGUGAGAUGCUGAUUGUCAAUGAUGGAACCAAGAAUUUGGUAACUGCUGUCAAUAACCGACUUAGUGCACUCUCCUUUCAUAUCAGAGAGUAUUAUUGGGUGGACAUGAAGAAGAUUAAUGAGAUCUAUCGUUACAAGACAGAGGAAUACUCAACAGAUGCAGUGAACAAAUUCAAUAUAUAUCCAGAUCAAAUUCCUUCAUGGCUAGUGGAUUGGAUUCCUGAAGAAGGGGGCUACCUUAUUGGCAAUCUACAACCUGCACAUAUGGAUUUUAGGUUUUUCACUCUUGGGAAUCUUUGGGCUAUUAUUUCCUCUUUGGGAACCAUAAAACAGAAUGAGGGUAUCCUGAAUUUGAUUGAGUCUAAAUGGGAUGAUCUUGUGGCUCAUAUGCCUCUUAAAAUUUGUUACCCUGCUUUGGAAUAUGAAGAAUGGCAUAUAAUUACUGGCAGUGACCCAAAGAAUACCCCAUGGUC
rnacentral:misc_RNA from 1 species